rnacentral:rRNA from 1 species
AGAGUUUGAUCCUGGCUCAGAACGAACGCUGGCGGCGUGCUUAACACAUGCAAGUCGAGUGCGCGGUUGUAGCAAUACAACUGGCGCACGGCGCACGGGUGCGUAACACGUGGGUAACCUGCCCUUUGGUGGGGAAUAACUCCGCGAAAGCGGAGCUAAUUCCGCAUAAGAUCCGCAAGGAUGAAAGCCGCAAGGCGCCGAAGGAGGGGCCCGCGCCCGAUUAGCUAGUUGGUAGGGUAACGGCCUACCAAGGCUUUGAUCGGUAGCUGGUCUGAGGGAUGAUCAGCCACACUGGAACUGAGACACGGUCCNNNCUNNNACGGGAGGCAGCAGUGGGGAAUCUUGCACAAUGGGCGAAAGCCUGAUGCAGCGACGCCGCGUGGGGGAUGAAGCAUUUCGGUGUGUAAACCCCUUUCGAUCCGGACGAAACCCCGCAAGGGAUUGACGGUACGGAUAUAAGAAGCCCCGGCUAACUACGUGCCAGCAGCCGCGGUAAGACGUAGGGGGCCAGCGUUGUUCGGAAUUACUGGGUGUAAAGGGUUCGUAGGCGGUGCGGCAAGUUGGGAGUGAAAUCUCUGGGCUUAACCCAGAGGCUGCUUCCAAAACUGCUGUGCUUGAGUGUGGGAGAGGCGCGUGGAAUUGCAGGUGUAGCGGUGAAAUGCGUAGAUAUCUGCAGGAACACCCGUGGCGAAAGCGGCGCGCUGGACCACUACUGACGCUGAGGAACGAAAGCUAGGGGAGCAAACAGGAUUAGAUACCCUAGUAGUCC